rnacentral:rRNA from 1 species
UGGGGAAUUUUGGACAACGGGGGAAACCCUGAUCCAGCCAUCCCGCGUGUGCGAUGAAGGCCUUCGGGUUGUAAAGCACUUUUGGCAGGAAAGAAACGUCGCGGGUUAAUACCCCGCGAAACUGACGGUACCUGCAGAAUAAGCACCGGCUAACUACGUGCCAGCAGCCGCGGUAAUACGUAGGGUGCAAGCGUUAAUCGGAAUUACUGGGCGUAAAGCGUGCGCAGGCGGUUCGGAAAGAAAGAUGUGAAAUCCCAGAGCUUAACUUUGGAACUGCAUUUUUAACUACCGGGCUAGAGUGUGUCAGAGGGAGGUGGAAUUCCGCGUGUAGCAGCGAAAUGCGUAGAUAUGCGGAGGAACACCGAUGGCGAAGGCAGCCUCCUGGGAUAACACUGACGCUCAUGCACGAAAGCGUGGGGAGCAAACAGGAUUAGAUACCCUGGUAGUCCACGCCCUAAACGAUGUCAACUAGCUGUUGGGGCCUUCGGGCCUUGGUAGCGCAGCUAACGCGUGAAGUUGACCGCCUGGGGGAGUACGGUCGCAAGAUUAAAACUU